rnacentral:rRNA from 1 species
AGUGAACGCUGGCGGUAGGCCUAAUACAUGCAAGUCGAACGGCAGCACAGUAAGAGCUUGCUCCUACGGGUGGCGAGUGGCGGACGGGUGAGGAAUACAUCGGAAUCUACUUUUUCGUGGGGGAUAACGUAGGGAAACUUACGCUAAUACCACAUACGACCUACGGCUGAAAGCAGGGGAUCUUCGGACCUUGCGCGUUUGAAUGAGCCGAUGUCGGAUUAGCUAGUUGGCGGGGUAAAGGCCCACCAAGGCGACGAUCCGUAGCUGGUCUGAGAGGAUGAUCAGCCACACUGGAACUGAGACACGGUCCAGACUCCUACGGGAGGCAGCAGUAGGGAAUAUUCGACAAUGGGCGCAAGCCUGAUCGAGCCAUGCCGCGUGAGUGAAGAAGGCCUUCGGGUUGUAAAGCCCUUUUAUUAGGGAAGAAAAGCAGCAGGUGUAUACCCCGAUAUUCUGACGGUACCCAAAGAAUAAGCAACGGCUAACUUCGUG